GUAUUCGCUUUAAUAACACAUGUACUGAAGUUGGAGUGAUACAGAGAGUAGCAUGGUCCUUGAACCAAGAUGAUAUGCAAAGUUGUGAAGUGUUCCGUAUUAAA